CUGGAUAGAAGGGAAACGAGGAUUUAUAUAGACAUGUAUUACACCAGCAGUAAUGACUUAAUACGUUGUACUUAGGUAAUUUGAGCAAAGGAUUGUUCCAACUAAUAUGGCACAAUACCUUUAGCGCAAUACAAAUAAAAACAAACCCGUCUUCGAGAUCUCUCAAUGUCUUCCAAUUCCUAUUGUUGACAAAAACUUCUUUUCAACCCAAUAGUUCGUACACUGUAAAUUCCUAUGGUUGAACCGAUGCAGAAUCCAAUGAAUCAAAACCUCUUCAGUUCCCUUAACGUCCAUCUUCUGUUUGCGCAAAUGUUAGAAUACACAUUGAUCCUAUUCCCCCACAACUUAAUAAGAUAAAUAAAACUCCUUCCAACCAAAACCAUUCCUCACGGGUUCAGCUUUUACUCCAGCUAUGAAAAAGAACCCCACAAAACCCAAUCUGGGUUCUCGCACCCCAACACAUCGACCCAUCAAUGUUCUUGAACAGCGCCUCGACGACAGUCGAUGGCGGCGGUGUAGUGGGCAGCGAGGUGGCUGCAGGUGGUGUCGAUGAUGGUGGAAACGAGCAGCGAACACGCAAUCACGCAUGAAGCUUUAGAGAGGAACCCAGGCUCAACC
rnacentral:lncRNA from 1 species